rnacentral:rRNA from 1 species
CAGUCGCCUCGGUAAUACGUAGGGUGCAAGCGUUAAUCGGAAUUACUGGGCGUAAAGCGUGCGCAGGCGGUUAUAUAAGACAGAUGUGAAAUCCCCGGGCUCAACCUGGGAACUGCAUUUGUGACUGUAUAGCUAGUGUACGGCAGAGGGGGAUGGAAUUCCGCGUGUAGCAGUGAAAUGCGUAGAUAUGCGGAGGAACACCGAUGGCGAAGGCAAUCCCCUGGGCCUGUACUGACGCUCAUGCACGAAAGCGUGGGGAGCAAACAGGAUUAGAUACCCCAGUAGUCCCUGUCUCUUAUAC